UGUUAAAAAUUUCAUCAUUUUCUGUCAUUAAAAACUGGUGUGGCUAAUUGAAUAACCUGACAGUUCCAUGUGGCAUGCUAUGUGUACCUAAUGCUGAUGUACAAGGACCAACUUUCAACUGUAGAAAUGGAUGAAAUUUUUAAUA
rfam:Gossypium arboreum cultivar AKA8401 contig_6960_1, whole genome shotgun sequence.